rnacentral:rRNA from 1 species
AUUAAACGCUGGCGGCAUGCCUUACACAUGCAAGUCGAACGGUAGCGCGGGGCAACCUGGCGACGAGUGGCGAACGGGUGAGUAAAGCAUCGGAACGUGCCCUGGAAUGGGGGAUAACGUAGCGAAAGUUACGCUAAUACCGCAUAUUCUGUGAGCAGGAAAGCAGGGGAUCGCAAGACCUUGCGUUCUGGGAGCGGCCGAUGUCGGAUUAGCUAGUUGGUGGGGUAAAAGCCUACCAAGGCGACGAUCCGUAGCGGGUCUGAGAGGAUGAUCCGCCACACUGGGACUGAGACACGGCCCAGACUCCUACGGGAGGCAGCAGUGGGGAAUUUUUGGACAAUGGGCGGAAGCCUGAUCCAGCCAUGCCGCGUGAGUGAAGAAGGCCUUCGGGUUGUAAAGGCUCUUUCGGUUGGGGGAAGGAAAGUUAGCACGGGUUAAUACCCUAGUGUAGAUGACGGUA